rnacentral:rRNA from 1 species
UACAGGGGGUGCAAACGUUGCUCGGAAUUAUUGGGCGUAAAGCGCGCGUAGGCGGCUACCUAAGUCGGAUGUGAAAGCCCCUGGCUUAACCGGGGAAGUGCACCCGAAACUGAGUAGCUAGAGUGCAAAAGAGGGUCGCGGAAAUUCCCAGUGUAGAGGUGAAAUUCGUAGAUAUUGGGAGGAACACCGGUGGCGAAGGCGGCGACCUGGGUUGACAGCUGACGCUGAGGCGCGAAAGCGUGGGGAGCAAAGCAGG